rnacentral:rRNA from 1 species
AUGGCAGAGCUCUUCGGCCCCAUGAAGGAGGGGAUUGCCAUACAGAUACAAGACAUGGAACCAAACGUGUUCAAGGCCUUGCUCAGUUUCGUCUACACCGAUUUGAUGCCCGAGAUGGAGGUGGAAGGGGAAGCAGAAGAAGGAGAAGGUCGAGCCGAUGAGGUUAUGUGGCUGCAACAUUUGCUUGCAGCGGCGGACAGGUACGAUCUCCAGCGCCUUAAGUCGAUGUGCGAGGAAAGGCUAUGGGGGCACAUAGACAUGAGCUCGGUGACGUUCUAUCCUUGGUCUAGCUGCUCAGCACCAUUGCCACGCGCUGAAGGAGACCUGCCUGGAGUUCCUCAAAGUUCAGUCUGCUGCAGACUUGGGACAGGUCAUGGUGACAAGUGA